rnacentral:rRNA from 1 species
GUCAGCGACUUAUAUUCUGUAGCAAGGUUAACCGAAUAGGGGAGCCGGAGGGAAACCGAGUCUUAAUUGGGCGUUAAGUUGCAGGGUAUAGACCCGAAACCCGGUGAUCUAGCCAUGGGCAGGUUGAAGGUUGGGUAACACUAACUGGAGGACCGAACCGACUAAUGUUGAAAAAUUAGCGGAUGACCUGUGGCUGGGGGUGAAAGGCCAAUCAAACCGGGAGAUAGCUGGUUCUCCCCGAAAGCUAUUUAGGUAGCGCCUCGUGAAUUCAUCUCCGGGGGUAGAGCACUGUUUCGGCUAGGGGGCCAUCCCGGCUUACCAACCCGAUGCAAACUGCGAAUACCGGAGAAUGUUAUCACGGGAGACACACGGCGGGUGCUAACGUCCGUCGUGAAGAGGGAAACAACCCAGACCGCCAGCUAAGGUCCCAAAGUCAUGGUUAAGUGGGAAACGAUGUGGGAAGGCCCAGACAGCCAGGAUGUUGGCUUAGAAGCAGCCAUCAUUUAAAGAAAGCGUAAUAGCUCACUGGUCGAGUCGGCCUGCGCGGAAGAUGUAACGGGGCUAAACCAUGCACCGAAGCUGCGGCAGCGAACGUAUCACCCAAGACAACUUUACGGAGUUGACGAUUGACGGAGCGAAGCGACGUCAAAGCGUUCAUUAAAGUCGAGUUGGCUUAGGGAUACGUUCGUUGGGUAGGGGAGCGUUCUGUAAGCCUGUGAAGGUGUGUCGUGAGGCAUGCUGGAGGUAUCAGAAGUGCGAAUGCUGACAUAAGUAACGAUAAAGCGGGUGAAAAGCCCGCUCGCCGGAAGACCAAGGGUUCCUGUCCAACGUUAAUCGGGGCAGGGUGAGUCGACCCCUAAGGCGAGGCCGAAAGGCGUAGUCGAUGGGAAACGGGUUAAUAUUCCCGUACUUGGUGUUACUGCGAAGGGGGGACGGAGAAGGCUAUGUUGGCCGGGCGACGGUUGUCCCGGUUUAAGCGUGUAGGUGUGUGUUCCAGGUAAAUCCGGUUCACUUUAACACUGAGGCGUGACGACGAGGCACUACGGUGCUGAAGCA